rnacentral:rRNA from 1 species
CGGAAGGAUCAUUACAACAAUAAUUCAACAUUGUGUCAGAGCAAUAACAUCUAAAACCGAUCAUCAAUUAAUUAAUUCAAAACUUUCAACAACGGAUCUCUAGGUUCUCGCAUCGAUGAAGAACGCAGCGAAAUGCGAUACGUAGUACGAAACGCAAGUCGUGAAUCAUCGAAUCUUUGAACGCACAUUGCGCUGUGUGGCAUUCCACACAGCAUGCCUGUUUGAGCAAUAUUUCUCUCUCGCAAGGUGUUGGGCACCACGCCGGCAGGCGUCUGCCAGAAACGAAAUUGUCUAAAACAGUUAAGCUUGUUACAGACUCUUGAUCUUAUUCUCAAAUCAGGUAGGACUACCCGCUGAACUUAAGCAUAUCA